AUUGAACGCUGGCGGCAUGCCUUACACAUGCAAGUCGAACGGCAGCACGGGUGCUUGCACCUGGUGGCGAGUGGCGAACGGGUGAGUAAUACAUCGGAACGUACCUUAUCGUGGGGGAUAACGCAGCGAAAGCUGUGCUAAUACCGCAUACGCCCUGAGGGGGAAAGCGGGGGAUCGAAAGACCUCGCGCGAUUAGAGCGGCCGAUGCCUGAUUAGCUUGUUGGUGGGGUAAAAGCCCACCAAGGCGACGAUCAGUAGCUGGUCUGAGAGGACGAUCAGCCACACGGAGACUGAGACACGGCCCAGACUCCUACGGGAGGCAGCAGUGGGGAAUUUUGGACAAUGGGGGAAACCCUGAUCCAGCAAUGCCGCGUGAGUGAAGAAGGCCUUCGGGUUGUAAAGCUCUUUUGUCAGGGAAGAAACACCGGCUCUAACACAGUCCGGGAAUGACGGUACCUGAAGAAUAAGCACCGGCUAACUACGUGCCAGCAGCCGCCGUAA
rnacentral:rRNA from 1 species